rnacentral:rRNA from 1 species
CCGAUUGUUCUGUGUAUGUUUUCUUGCAGCUCUUAUCAUGGCCUUCACCCUCCCAAACUCCGUCUAUGCACAAAAACCUAUAUUUAAAGAAGUCAGCGUCCAUGACCCUUCCAUCAUUGAAACAAACGGCACUUUUUAUGUUUUUGGAUCUCAUCUCGCUUCAGCUAAAUCGAAUGACCUCAUGCAAUGGCAGCAGCUGACCACCAGCGUAAGCAAUGACAACCCACUUAUCCCGAAUGUCUAUAAAGAAUUAAAAGAAACCUUCGAAUGGGCGCAAUCCGAUACUCUUUGGGCGGCUGACGUCACGCAGCUGGCGGACGGCAAAUACUACAUGUACUACAACGCCUGCCGCGGCGAUUCGCCAAGAUCCGCCAUGGGUGUUGCCGUUGCUGACAACAUCGAAGGCCCAUACAAAAACAAAGGCAUCUUUUUGAAAUCAGGAAUGGAAGGCACAAGCAACGAUGGAACACCGUAUGACGCAACCAAACAUCCGAAUGUCGUCGACCCGCAUACCUUCUUUGAUAAAGACGGCAAGCUGUGGAUGGUGUACGGAUCAUACUCAGGCGGCAUUUUCAUACUUGAAAUGAAUCCGAAAACGGGCUUCCCGCUUCCUGGACAGGGAUACGGGAAAAAACUGCUCGGCGGCAACCAUAGCAGAAUCGAAGGCCCGUAUGUUCUCUACAAUCCAGACACCAAAUACUACUACUUAUACCUAUCAUAUGGCGGUCUUGAUGCAACAGGCGGCUAUAACAUCCGUGUGGUCCGCUCCAAGAAACCAGACGGCCCUUACUAUGAUGCAGAAGGCAAUCCAAUGCUUGACGUCCGCGGCAAAGAAGGCACAUUCUUCGACGACCGUUCCAUCGAACCAUACGGCGUCAAACUCAUGGGCAGCUACACUUUUGAAACAGAAAAUGAAAAAGGCACCGGGUACGUCUCACCAGGCCACAACUCCGCAUACUAUGAUGAAAAAACCGGGCGUUCCUAUUUAAUCUUCCACACCCGCUUCCCGGGCAGGGGUGAAGAACACGAAGUCAGAGUCCACCAAUUGUUCAUGAACAAAGACGGCUGGCCGGUAGCAGCACCAUAUCGUUAUGCGGGCGAAACAUUGAAAGAAGUAAAACAAAAAGACAUCACAGGAACAUACAAACUUAUCCAGCACGGAAAAGACAUCUCAGCCGACAUCAAACAAACCAUCAUUAUCCAGCUCAACAAAAACCACACCAUUUCCGGGGAAAUGACCGGAACAUGGCAGAAAACCGGAAAAAACACAGCCGACAUCACGUUAGCUGGCAAGAAGUAUAACGGGGUAUUUUUACGCCAGUGGGAUUCGGUGAGAGAGAAGAACGUCAUGACGUUUAGUGUUUUGAAUGGCAACGGUGAGGCUGUAUGGGGAUCUAAAUAAGAUGGAGAAGGCGCCUUCUAGAGAAGGCGCUUUUUUAUGAGCUUUAUUGACUAUAAGAAAUGGUUGAGCGAGAGAAAAAACAGAAGUGAUUGCGGGGUUCAAGACCUAAACGAAAAGUCCCCAUUAUGAUGAUUCUCCCUCUUACAAAGUUAUGAAAUUGAAUUUUUAGCUAUUUAGAACCGGUAUAAAGUUCCUCAAGACAAUCCUUUUUACCUAUUUAUCCAAUAUGACCCAUCAUGUAAUAUGAAAAUAGUCUGUAUUGUAAAGAAUUGACACAGUUUGAUAGAAACACGAGGUGUUGCGGCAUGCAUAGUGAAAUGUUGUUACAUUCGGUAAAAGCCGACUUACAUGAAAAGCAGGAACAGAUCCAUCAAUUAAAACGAGUGCUGCACGAAAUCAGGCAAAUCAAACACGAAUUCUCCGAGGCCCAGCAUCUCAUUCACCGGCCUCAUCUUAACCGGGAGGCAUGGAGAGGAACACAUGCUCAGCGGUUUGAAGAUAUUCGUGAAGGAAUGAACAAAGCAUAUCAGCAAAUCAAAAGCGAUCAAGUCAACGGAAUCAUCGAAAGCAUAGAAGGAAAAAUCCACUCAUUAGAGGGCGAUGUCUAUUCCAUAAGACGCCAAAUUACGAGGAUAGAGCAUGAAAUAGAGAAGGAAAAACAUAAAAAAGUGAGGUGAGCACAAAUGGCACAGGAAAUUAAAAUGGUGUAUGGCACAGUGAAGCAAGGGCUUUCUCAGCUCAAGAAUUCAGCUGAACUCAAGUCCUCCUUACCCGGCCAUCUCUCAGGCAGAAACCAUUUGAAUGUUGUGAAGUCCAUCGAGCAAUUAAAUAAGGACAUCAAAGAGCUCACUGAAGCAUAUGCGUCUGUUCUGGCCAAGCAUAUCGCACAAACGGAAAGCGCGGUAAACGCCAUGAAGGAAACGGACGAAAACAUAUCAUCUUCCAUGAAAUAAAGCGCGGGAGGACAAGGGAUUGAAAACAUUAGAUGUCCACGCUCUUCACGAGGGCAUUCAGCAUACGAUUGAGAAACUGGACAAGCAAAAACAACAGCUGGAGAAGCUGGAAAAAAGCGUUGAGCAUCUGGCAGGCAUGAAGGAUGCGCUGAAAGGAAAAGGCGGAGAUGCCAUCCGGACCUUUUACGAGGAGUGCCACAAGCCUUUUCUCCUUUUCUUUGGCAUGUUUAUCGACGAAUACAAAAAAGUGCUGAAACAAACCCAGCAUGCGAUUUCCUCUGUAGAAUCUGACUCCCACGGCAUGAUCGCAGAGGCUUUUCUCUCACACGAUGCGAGACAUGGGGUCAAGCAUGCACGAGAAGUGACAGAGCAGCUCACUGACGCAGUCAAUCGCCAAACAUCAGCCAUCGAUCACAUCGUCAGCCUGCCGACAGUCAAUGAUUCCUUUUUUCGGAUGGAAACAGAACAGGCUGAGCGGCUGAUUUCAGACACCCUGAAUAAGCUCUUUCAAUUUGACGGCCAGCAAACCCAAGCAUUAGAAACCGCAAAAUCAGAUUUUCAAACGAUGAAAAA